AGUAGUUUGACCUGGCUCGAGGACGAACGCUGGCGGCGCGCCUAACACAUGCAAGUCGAACGAGACACGAUCUUGAUUCUUUCGGGAAGAUGGAUCAAUGUUUAGUGGCGGACGGGUGAGUAAUGCGUGAACAAUCUGCCUUAUAGAAGGGGAUAACGACUAGAAAUGGUCGCUAAUACCUAAUAAUGCAUAGAUUUCGCAUGAUAUAUAUGCCAAAGGGAAUUCGCAAGAAUUUUGCUAUAAGAUGAGUUCACGUCUGAUUAGAUUGUUGGUGGGGUAACGGCUCACCAAGUCUACGAUCAGUAGCCGAACUGAGAGGUUGAACGGCCACAUUGGGACUGAGACACGGCCCAGACUCC
rnacentral:rRNA from 1 species